rnacentral:pre_miRNA from 1 species
GGAAACUUAGAAACUACCGUUGGAUCGAGCAAUGGACGUCCGAGAUUCGUCCAUGUCAUUGUGAGUUACAAUUUAACUCGCAAAUUCACUCAUGAGUUAAAAUUUUACUGGGAGUUAAAUUUUUACUCAUGGUGACGUGGACGAAUCUCGAACGUCCAUUUCUCGAUCCAACGGUAGAUUGCAAGUUUCC